rnacentral:rRNA from 1 species
GAUCAUGGCUCAGGAUGAACGCUAGCGACAGGCUUAACACAUGCAAGUCGAGGGGCAGCGGGGAGUAGCAAUACUUCGCCGGCGACCGGCGCACGGGUGAGUAACACGUGUGCAACCAACCCCGUACCGGGAGAUAACCCCGCGGAAACGUGGACUAACAUCCCAUAACACUGUAUCAUCGCAUGGUGAUGCAUUUAAAAUUCCGGNGGUACGGGACGGGCGACGCGCGACAUUAGGUAGUUGCGGGGUAACGGG